UGGGGGAUAUUGCACAAUGGGGGAAACCCUGAUGCAGCGACGCCGCGUGGACGAAGAAGUAUCUCGGUAUGUAAAGUCCUAUCAGCAGGGAAGAAGAAAUGACGGUACCUGACUAAGAAGCCCCGGCUAACUACGUGCC
rnacentral:rRNA from 1 species